GAGGUGUUAGCUCAGCGGUAGAGCAAUUGACUGCAGAUCAAUAGGAAGAGUGAAUUGUUCCUGUUCAGAUGCCUGG
rnacentral:tRNA from 1 species